rnacentral:lncRNA from 1 species
UUUCCUCUCUUCGGGCCAGUCUGGGGAGAGGGUGGCUAGCUGUGGCGGCGGCCAAUUACGUGGCGGACCUGCGGGGCUAAGCUGGCACGUCACUUCCGACUAGUGGAGUUUUUAGCCUUUUAACAUUCAAGGAUUAGGUAAGUUCUCCCCGCGGUAGACUUCAAAUACUCUUUGUCCUGCCCCUGCUUGGCGAAAUUUACCGAAAUUAUCUACCUAUCCCGCUGGAGUGGGAGCCGGGGGAGAGCUGGAACCGCGUCUCUGCUGCUCACCUUUGUGUCCUUAGCUCCUUCGCAUGGGGUCCGACCGCAACACGUGCGCUGGAUAAACGCUUGUUAACUGGAGCUCCCUCUUUGCCCACUAGCAGGGCAUUAGCUGGUGCUGAAGACAGUGGCUGCUUGGCGAGCCUGGAUCUCCAAGUGACCCCCUCAGCAACUCCUGAUGAACAGGACUGAAGCCAAUAUUAAAGCAAGUCAACCAAAGGUUCUCUGGUGUAGACAAGACAGCAAAAGGACAGACUACCUUGUGGAACCUAGCAUUGUUCUCCUUCUGCAGCACUAAGUAACAUUUGUUCUCCGUUAAGAUCUUUGCAAACCACACACAAGAAUUGCUGGUCAUCCUGCCAAUAGAUGCUGCUCACAGAACCAAAUUUCCUGUGCUGAAUUGUCACUCAUGGGCUUGAGAGUAGGAGACUGGAGACCAAGGUGGCUAGAAUCCAGUUGGGCCUGAUGUCUCCCUGUUGAAAGGGCUCCUUGUGGAAUGAAUAGCACAUGGCUCCUGUGGUGGAUCUGAUAGUGGCAUAGCACCAAGUGAUGCAGGCCUGCCAGGGGCCACAGACACAGAAGAUGCUCCCGGGGUCCCCCAUGUACUCCAGACACACUGCAGGCCACCUCUCCCAGCAGGUUGCCAGUCAUGGGCCCCAUCAUCAUGACUUCUGUCCAAGGUACUGUGUGCAGAAAUGUGAUUGAGAUUCAAGUCAGGGCCUCUCUGCCCUUUUCCCUCCAGAAACAAAACCAAGAUAAUUUAUCCUGAACACGGUGAAAAAAGGAAGGGAGGGAGGAGAAAAAGUCCGGGUCUCACCUGGGAUUCUCUGUCUCCUGCAACAUGAAGGAUUUAGCCUGGGAGGAGGUGGUGAGAACUCUGGGAGAGAAAAAAGAAGGAAAGAAUAGUUUUACCCAUGCUGAAGUUAAUUUAAACCUUCACCUAGAGAAGCAAAAAAAAAAAACCCACACUUUCCCAUUUUGUGCCUCCCUUCCUAGAGUUUUAGCCAAAGGUUUAGCUAAGUAAUUGGUUUUACCAGCGCACUCACUCCUCCUAUCCCAAGUCUGUUUGACUCCCUCCCCAUCAUCCUCCUCACCUCUUUUCAGGCAGGGUGGGGAUAGCAGCAGGAGGAGAUUUUGGGAGCCUGGCAACUCCUGCAAGGACCGCAGGACAGCCCCUCUGUGGGGAUGCGUGGUGCCCCAUCUGCCGCCCUUCUGAAGAAUGCACUGCCUUCACUUUUUACUGUGUUAGAGUCCAUCCAGACUGUUCUAUCCAAAAAAGUUUCUUUUUCCCCCACAGGCAAUCAGGAAAUGAUUCCUUUCCCGACUGCUUCUGUCUAGUGCCUGGGAAUCUUGAGUCAAUCCCUCAGUAAGUCAGUGACUAGGGAAAUCCCUCUCUGAGCCUCCCAGUUCAUGUUGCUUAGGGAACCUGAUAUUUUCGUGAAACCUGCCUACACAUGGGCAGCCCAACAGCAGAACAAAUGGUGGUGACCAAAGUGAACAAAGAAGUAUAGUUGUGCCAGCUUCGUAGUUGCCCAUGUGGACAAGUCAGCAGGAUCAGGACACGAGGAAGAGUAAAUGUGAGACAGUCAAUGUGACUUCUGCGAUAAACAGAUUUUUAAACCCCGAAAUUUUGCAAAAUUUUGGUGAAACCUGAACUUUCUUCGUUGCAUAUACUGGCACUAUCUGUACCAUCAUACAACUGUCUCACAUUAAAGCUAUUUUUCUUGGGCACUGAUGAGUAAGGUUGGUAUAAGUUCCUCAGAUCAACAAAAACCCAUUUUCCUGUAAGUCUUACAUUUAGUAUUUAAGGAACUAAAACUUAAAUACAUUUUGUGAAAUGGUUGACACUUCACUGAUAAUGAUUUAUUGCUUGGAUUAAUAAAUUUUCCAAAAGUUGUCUUAUGUAGAAUAUGGUUUGCAACCAGCAGAACCAUUAAUCUAUACUGCAAUGAUAUGCACUAUGUAUAAUUGUUUAAAAGCCUCUACUUAAUGAUGUAAAAUGCUCUAUUUAAUUACACAUUUGGGUAAACUGUAUACUAACAUCUGAUGGCAUUUUUCCACUGUUUGUUGCUUUUUUCAAAUACUUUAUUGUACAAAGCUGUUCUUAAUAUUUUUCAAGUUUUUUUCUUUGAAUUUUGCUAAUGUUUUCCUUGAAUUAUGAGCACUGACAGAAUGUGCUUAGCACUUUUGGCUAUUCACACAGCUUUUGAGCAUGAUUUGCAUCCAAUAUUUACAUUGCUAGCAAUAAUAAGCCAUCUGUGAGUUUUGUCAAAAGUUAUUGGGGAUUUUUUAAAUUUUAGAAAUGCAAAUUAUUGUUUCUUUGAACUAACUCUUAUGCAGUUGCAAAGGCAUUUCCAGUUGUUAUAGUUUGUGUACAAUAUCAGGUGUUCCAGAUUAUGAUUCAUUAUUAAUAUCAUUGCUUCCUUGUUCCCUCUGAGGUCCAGAAGAUUCAUGUUUACAAUAUUUAGAAACAAUGUUAAAAAGGUAUCCAAAGUUUGUCACUUUAUUAUUAGUUUGUUCUUAAUAUUCUGUUUAAGUUUUUGAAUUCAUAGAUAUCAAAACGCUGCACAAUUAUGAUUUCCACAGGAAUAACAACACACUAACAAUAAGAACCAAAAACAGCAAAUAGGCUGCCUACAAGUUUUGACAAUAUUAGGAUAAUGAUAAUGACAGUUUUUCUAAAUCUCACAGUAAAGAAUGCAGCAACCCAGCAACACUGCUACCUGUGGCCUCAGGCUGCAGUGUCAGCUCUUCCCUGGGUCUCCAGCCUGCCAGUCUAACCUGAAAAUUAUGUACUUGCCAGCCCCCACAGUCACGUGAGUGAACUGGCCCAGGCUGGUCACCAGGGUCAGUUUCUCUGUGUGUCAUUAAUUCAUUCAGUCUUCAGCAGUCUCUUUGGAGCUGAGAUGUACCUACCAUCUGCCUUUUGGGUGCUUAGGGUGGAGAACCAGAAAAGUAUAACCUAGUGUGUAUCCUCAAAGAGCUAACAAUAUGGGGUGGUACCUAUAGGUCUGGAAACACUUUACUGACUCUGUGAGGCAUACCAGGAGACGUCAGAGAACAGUCCCUCCUCAAAUGCCAAAUGAGAUGCAGAAGAAAUAGUUUGCUCAAGUUCAUGGGCCAGAUAUCCCAGUGGUCAGGGAGUUUCAUGAAUGAGAUGGAACUUUGCAUGGAACCCGAGGGAUGUGUAUGAUUUGAGUAGAUGAAGAAAAUGAGACUUUCCAAGCAGCUAGAAGUUAGGGAGCAGCAAGAUGUGUGGUGGGAUUGAGCACAGUUGGUUCAGAGGAUAGACUGCAGUUUUAAUAAUUUGUAGUAAAUAUCUCCCAACUGUUUGGCACUAUUGGAGCAAGUUCUUGAAUGCCAAAUGAAGGCAUAAAUCAGUAAGAGGCAUAAUAAAAGGCUGAGCAGUGCUUGGCUUUUUACGAACUGAUCCUGAUAGGAGCAGCUGUUCAACAAAGUUGCCAGGUCACCGUUACAUAGUCCCUGCCUUCUAGGGGCUCACUGCCUACUGGGAGAGACAGUCUGAAAGUUGGUGGAGCAUGUAACUGUUGGAUGAGGAGUUUGAGCCUGUGGACUGUGGGACCCCCGAGGAGGGUGUGGCUACUCUAGGCAGAACAAUCCCACAGUUUAUUUAUAUUUAACCUUGAAAUUCAUUAGAGGAUUUUUCAGCAGAGGUUUGGUACUUGUUAAUGUUAAGGUUUGCAUUCUCUAGAACCUCAAGGAAAGCUGUACCGUGCAUAAUGUACCCUCUUAUGUUAAUGUUGUGUACUGUGAUCCUGUUUCAGGGACUUGCACUUAGGAAUCUGUUACAGUGAGCACAGAAGCAGACCUGUGGGCUCAUAGUCUUCACCCCCCACCCAUAUAUACAAGAUGAACAGAGUGGAGGUUAAACAACUUGACUAAACAACACAGUUCAUGGUAAAGCCCAAGACUGUACCUGCCCAUCCACUGCCUUUUCCAUGUAUCCUGGAACUGAGCAUAGACCUCUUCCCAGGCAGAGCUGACAGCAAGUAAAGGAGAUCAUAAUCAGGGGACCAAACAACUUUGUCUAAAGUGUGAAUGUCACCUAAGGAGAAGCUGUGAGAUCAGAAGGGUGGGGCAGAGGAGCAGACACCAUGAGGGAGAGUCCUUGGGGGUACAUCUGCCAGACUGACACUGUCUGGCCUGGGCAGUGGAGGGGCUAGCAGGAACCACAGGUACUGGUGGUGUGGCUACUACCGUUACAACUGCCUGUGCUUGGACAUGGACCCUCUGCAAUAUGCGGCAGUUUCAUUCAUUGCCCCCUACAUUCUACACCAAGUAGAAAUGGAAGGCAAUUGGAUACUUCACAGACAAGAUCUAAGUGGAGAAGGAAUGCGUCCUGUGGCUGCAGAGAUCCUUGGAGCUUGGAGGGGAGAGCUUGAGCCCCACUGAUGAUGACCUCCCACAGCUCGCCAACUCAGCCCUCCCUAAGUCCCCAUCGGGGGCCAAUUCUCACUCUGGGGUUGGGGGGACUCCACCAUAGCUCAUCCAUCAUAGGGAUGUUGGUAUCUACUGUGGGUUGGGUAGGGCCGAUGUGCUGAGGAUGGCUCCCCCACAAGCAAGAGAUGUGGAUUUGGGGAGCUUCCCAUCUUGUGUUGAAGGAACAUAACUCAGAAUAAUAAGAGCCAACUAUAACAAACCCACAGCCAACAUCAUACUGAAUGGGCAAAAGCUGCAGGCAUUCCCCUUGAAAAGUGGCACAGGAUAAGGAAGCCCUUUCUCACCACUCCUAUUCAAUAUAGUGUUGAAAGUCCUGAUCACAGCAGUCAGGCAACAGAAAUAAUAAAGGGCAUCCAAAUAGGAAGAGAGGAAGUCAAACUAUCCUUGUUUGCAGACAGUAUGAUUCUAUAUCUAGAAAACCCCAUAGCCUCAGCCCAAAAGGUCCUUCAUCUGAUAAUUUCAGCAAAGUUUCAGGAGACAAAAUCAGUGUACAAAAAUCACUAACAUUCCUAUACACAGUCGCCAAGCCAAGAGCCAAAUCAGGAGCACAAUCCCAUUCAUAAUUGCCACAAAAAAGAAUAAAAUACCCAGGAAUGCAGCUAACCAAGGAAGUAAAGGAUCUCUACAAUGAGAAUCACAAACGCUGCUCAAAGAAAUCAGAGAUGACACAAACAAAUGGAAAAACUUUCCAUGCUCAUGGCUAGGAAGAAUCAAUAUCAUUAAAGUGGCCAUACUACCCAAAGCAAUUUAUAGAUUCAAUGCUAUUCCUAUCAAACUAUCAAUUACAUUUUUCACAGAACUAGAAAAAACUUAAAAUUCAUAUGGAACCAAAAAGCCUGAGUAGUCAAGGCAAUCCUAAACAAAAAGAACAAAGGUGGAGGCAUCACAUUACCUAACUUCAAACUACAGGGCUACCAUGACCAAAACAGCAUGGUACUGGUACAAAAGCAGACACACAGACCAGUGGGACAGAAUAGAGAGCCCAAAAAUAAGGCCACAAACCUACAGCCAUCUGAUCUUCAACAAAGUUGACAAAAACAAGCAAUGGGGAAAGGUCUCCCUAUUCAAUAAAUGGUGCUGGGAUAACUGGCUGGCCAUAUGCAGAAGAUCGUAACUGGACCCCUUUUACUAUGUACAAAAAUUAAGAUGGUUUAAAGAGUUAAAACCCAAAAUUAUAAAAAUCCUGAAGAUAACUUAGGCAAUACCAUUCUGGACAUAGGAACUGGCAAAUAUUUCAUGAUGAAGACACCAAAAGCAAUUGUAACAAAAGCAAAAAUGGACAAAUUGGAUUUAAGAGCUUUUUCAUAGCAAAAUAAACAACAGGGCAGACAAUCUACCAAAUGACAGAAAAUUUUUGCAAACUAUGCAUCUGACAAGGGGCUAAUAUCUAGCAUCUAUAAGGAAUUUAAACACAGUUACAGGAAAAAAAAAACCCACUCCAUUAAAAAAUGGGCAAAGGACAUGAACAGACACUUUUCAAAAAAGACAUACAUACAGCCAACUAGCGUGUUAAAGAAAACCUCAAUUAUCACUGAUCAUUAGAGAAAUGCAAAAUCAAAACCAUGAUGAGAUAUCAUCUGCCAGUCAGGAUGGCUACAAAAAAGUAAAAAAAUAAUAGAUGUUGGUGAGGUUAUGGAGAAAAGGAACUUAUACACUUGUUAGGAGUGUAAAUUAGUUCAAUCACUGUGGACAGCAGUGUGGUGAUUCCUCAGAGAGCUAAAAACAACUACCAUUUGACUCACCAAUCCCAUUACUGGAUAUUUACCUAAAGGAAUAUAAAUCAUUCCACCAUAAAGACACAUGCAAGUGUAUGUUCAUUGCAGCACUAUUAACAGUAACAAAGCUGGGCACAGUGGCUCACCUCACGACUGUAAUCCCAGCACUUUGGGAGGCUGAGGUAGGCGGAUCACCUGAGGUCGGCAGUUUGAGACCAGCCUGACCAACAUGGAGAGACCCCAUCUCUACUAAAAAUACAAAAUUAGCCAGGUGUGGUGGCUCAUGCCUGUAAUCCCA